rnacentral:rRNA from 1 species
UACGUAGGUGGCAAGCGUUAUCCGGAAUUAUUGGGCGUAAAGCGCGCGCAGGUGGUUUCUUAAGUCUGAUGUGAAAGCCCGCGGCUCAACCGUGGAGGGUCAUUGGAAACUGGGAGACUUGGGUGCAGAAGAGGAAAGUGGAAUUCCAUGUGUAGCGGUGAAAUGCGUAGAGAUAUGGAGGAACACCAGUGGCGAAGGCGACUUUCUGGUCUGUAACUGACACUGAGGCGCGAAAGCGUGGGGAGCAAACAGG